rnacentral:rRNA from 1 species
GAUGAACGCUGGCGGCGUGCCUAAUACAUGCAAGUCGAGCGAAUGGAUUAAGAGCUUGCUCUUAUGAAGUUAGCGGCGGACGGGUGAGUAACACGUGGGUAACCUGCCCAUAAGACUGGGAUAACUCCGGGAAACCGGGGCUAAUACCGGAUAACAUUUUGAACCGCAUGGUUCGAAAUUGAAAGGCGGCUUCGGCUGUCACUUAUGGAUGGACCCGCGUCGCAUUAGCUAGUUGGUGAGGUAACGGCUCACCAAGGCAACGAUGCGUAGCCGACCUGGGAGGGUGAUCGGCCACACUGGGACUGAGACACGGCCCAGACUCCUACGGGAGGCAGCAGUAGGGAAUCCUCCGCAAUGGACGAAAGUCUGACGGAGCAACGCCGCGUGAGUGAUGAAGGCUUUCGGGUCGUAAAACUCUGUUGUUAGGGAAGAACAAGUGCUAGUUGAAUAAGCUGGCACCUUGACGGUACCUAACCAGAAAGCCACGGCUAACUACGUGCCAGCAGCCACGGUAA